rnacentral:rRNA from 1 species
AAGACCUUGCGCUUUUGGAGCGGCCGAUGCCUGAUUAGCUUGUUGGUAAGGUAAAAGCUUACCAAGGCUUCGAUCAGUAGCUGGUCUGAGAGGACGGCCAGCCACACUGGGACUGAGACACGGCCCAGACUCCUACGGGAGGCAGCAGUGGGGAAUUUUGGACAAUGGGGGCAACCCUGAUCCAGCCAUGCCGCGUGAGUGAAGAAGGCCUUCGGGUUGUAAAGCUCUUUCASCCGGAACGAAACGGUUACGGUUAAUACCCGUGACUAAUGACGGUACCGGAAGAAGAAGCACCGGCUAACUACGUGCCAGCAGCCGCGGUAAUACGUAGGGUGCGAGCGUUAAUCGGAAUUACUGGGCGUAAAGCGUGCGCAGGUGGUUUUGUAAGUCAGACGUGAAAGCCCCGGGCUCAACCUGGGAACU